rnacentral:rRNA from 1 species
GGAUUCCCCUAGUAAUGGCGAAUGAAGCGGGAACAGCUCAAAUUUGAAAUCUCCGUCGCCUGCGACGGCGAAUUGUAGUUUCUAGAAGCACUUUCUAGGCGAUUCGGGGCCGUCCAAGUUGCUUGGAACAGCACGUCAUAGAGGGUGACAACCCCGUCUGUGGCGGAACCCGGGCGCUGACGAUGUGCUUUCGACGAGUCGGGUUGUUUGGGAAUGCAGCCCAAAAUGGGUGGUAAACUCCAUCUAAAGCUAAAUACUGGCACGAGACCGAUAGCGAACAAGUACCGUGAGGGAAAGAUGAAAAGCACUUUGAAAAGAGAGUUAAAAAGUACGUGAAACCGUUAAAAGGGAAACGAAUGAGGUUAGCAAUGCGCUCUGCGAGAUUCAGCCGGUGGCCGGGCUGGGCGAGCGGUUUGCGGAUCUGAAUGGACCGCGGCCGUUCGGGUCGGUCCCUCGACCGUCGCACUUCUCGCGAGCGCGCGUCAGUGUCGGUUGGAACUGGGUUUUAAAGUCGCCGGGAAGGUAGGUCAGUCCCUCCGGGGUCAGACUGUUAUAGACCGGUGUUCUUAUGGCCCGGAUCCUACCGAGGUGCCGCGGCGCGUGCCUCUUCUGGCUGGGGUCCCGUCGUUCCGGUCGGUAGUCGACUGUGGUGGACUGCGUGCAGUGCAUCGCGACUGCUGCCGGUCGCUUCGGCGGUGACCUCACACAACGCGCCCAGGACGCUGGCGGUGACAUGGCCUCAUCCGACCCGUCUUGAAACACGGACCAAGGAGUCUAACAUGUGCGCGAGUCUUUGAGUGAUCGAAACUCGCAGGCGGAAUGAAAGUGAAGGUGGCUUCCGGCCGCUGAGGUGAGAACCCCUCCUUGCGGGGGGCGCAUCAUCGACCGACCUAUUCUACUCUUAGGAAGGUUGAGUAAGAGCGCAUGCUGUA